UGGGAGUUGUAGAAGCCAGUGAGAAAAACCCACCCUCACCGUACAAGAUAUGGGAGUUGAUUGAUAGAGUUUCUUGUAAGUAUUUGUAUCCUUAUUAAAAUAAUUCGUCUCUUGCACCUCAUUUGAGCCUUUUAAUUUUGCGCAAAGAAUUUGUUAGAAUCCUAGUCUUAGAUUUGCAUUAUUUCCUUUUCCGUUAAGGUUUAGUUAUUAAGUUAUUAUGUUAUUAGGAAUUAUUAUUUUCGUAGGAUCUCUUUGGCUUAUAUAAGGAACUGUUGCUACUUUAAUAAAUAAUAAGAAUUGCUUCUAAAACUCUCUUUUCCCCUCUGGCCACUUCUUCUCAUUAUUCUUCUCAUCAAUUCGUCUCUUCUAAAUUGCUAUCUCAAAGCAGUAGCCUAACAUCUGGUAUCAGAGCAGUUUUUUUCCUUGGGCAUAAUGACUGUUAAGGAACUGGAAGAAAUGGUGGAGCAAUUAUCUCAUCAAUUCAAUGAGAAGGUUGAGGUCUUAUCCCAACAGUCCAACGACCUCCAAGAAUUAAUCUUAAGUCUCCGCAAUCAAUUCAUCCGGUUUCAAGAAAAUAUAAACAACAACCAACUGUUACAAAACAAUAAUCAACAACCCGAACCUGCAGGACGUAUUGGAGGAGCACUUGUGCAACCCCGCCAUAUACGACUGGAUUUUUCGGUUUUCAGCGGGGAAAAACCGACAAGUUGGAUCUUUCGCUAUGAACAGUAUCAGCGACUAGCUGCCUUGCCUGAGAUAGAUGUGUUGUCCCUUGCUAUCGGACACCUCGAUGGAGAUGCGGUACCUUGGUAUCACUGGUUAGAGCAAACUAUGGGUAAUAUGACUUGGGCCCAAUUCAAAUGAGCUCUAGUUACUCAAUUUGGAAUAUUCGAAGACGAUGAUGCAGUCAGGUCCAUUACCAAACUACGACAGACUGGGACUGUUAUUGAAUAUCAACGCCAAUUCGAACGAUUGGCUGAUAGAACUCGGAAUCUACCAGAAUCAUUCUUCAUUAGUUGCUUCCUUUCGGGAUUACGAGAGGAUAUUAAAAUUGGAGUGCAGAUGGUGAAACCUGUAAGUCUCCUACAAACUUUUGAGCUUGCAAGAUUCCAAGAAGAAUACACGGCUGUUUCUAAUCGAAGGAUUCCACCUCGGCCUAGUAUGAGCAGGCCAUCGCCACCACUCCUUAAUUCAUCUCCCACAAUAACCAAACUAUGGGGUCAUCGCAACCCUCUUUAUUAGGCCCACCCCCUCCGAGAUCCCCACCAUUUCGAUGUCUAUCAGUUGCCGAACAAACUGAAAGACGAGCCAAAGGAUUGUGUUUCAAUUGUGAUGAACAAUUUAAACCUGGGCAUCGUUGUAAAGCUCCUCAACUUUUAUUGCUGGAUGCAGAUAUUGACGAUCAAGAUGAACAAGCUGCGACUUUCGAGGAAUUCCCAGAAACAGUAGAAGUCUCUUUAAAGGCUCUCACUAGAGCAACCCCACAAAACACCAUGCGACUGAAAGGGACUUUAAAAAAACAUAGUGUCACUAUAUUAAUAGACUCUGAUUCUACUCACAAUUUUUUGAAUCCAUCUUUGGCUAAGCAAUGUAGGUGCCUUGUCACUACUACAACUCAGUUUCAAGUUACUGUAGCUGAUGGUGGAGAGAUCAACAGCUCGGGAAAAUGUUCUCACGUCUCAGUAAAUAUUCAAGGCUUUCAAUUUCACUUGGAUUUUUUCUUACUUCCAGUAAGUGGUUGUGACAUUGUGUUGGGUGCUGAGUGGUUACGUUCAUUGGGUGCUAUAUUGUGGGACUUCUCAAAGCUAACUAUGCAGUUCACUUAGAAAGGCCAAACUGUUCAACUCACUGGAUAUGAUUCCCUGCCACCGGCUUUGGCAAGUCAUGGUGAAAUUAAUAGGUUAUUGCUUCAAGAAAAGCAAGGCAUUUUUUUUCUAGAUUAUGGCAAUAACCACUUCAGUAGCUGAUAUAUCAGCACCUUCAAUUAUUACUAAGGUCCUAGAGACAUAUUCUGGCAUCUUUGCGGAACCCACCAAACUUUCUCCUGAACGCUUAAUUGAUCACCGUAUUCUAUUACUUCCUGGAAGCUCUCCUGUUAAUGUACGACCUUAUCGUUACCCUCAUUUUCAGAAACAAGAAAUUGACCGCUUGAUUCGUGAGCUUUUGGAUGCUGGGCUUAUUCGGCAUAGUGUUAGUCCUUAUUCCUCUCCGGUUUUAUUAGUUAAAAAGAAAGAUGGCUCUUGGCGUAUGUGUAUCGAUUAUCGUGCUCUUAACAAGGUAACCAUCAAAGAUCGUUAUCCAAUUCCGGUUGUUGACAAGCUAUUAGAUGAAUUACAUGGUGCAUCAGUUUUCAAUAAGUUGUACCUUCGCUCGGGCUAUCACCAGAUUAUAGUUCAUCCCUCCGAUAUAGCAAAAACAGCCUUUCGUACUCAUUAUGGCCACUACGAAUUUCUUGUGAUGCCUUUUAGCCUUUCAAAUGCGCCAGCUACAUUUCAGAACCUGAUGAAUGAGAUUUUUUGACCCUUCCUUCGCAAAUUUGUUUUAGUUUUCUUUGAUGAUAUCCUUGUCUACAGCACUUCUGUACAGGAGUAUGCUCGACACCUCUCUGCUAUCCUUCAAUGUUUACAACAAAAUCGACUUUAUGUCAAGCUUACAAAAUGUUCUUUUGCUCAGUCAUCUGUUGAAUGUUUGGGUCAUAUUGUCUAUGCUACUAGAGUUGCUGUCAAUCCUGAAAAGGUUCAGUGCAUGCUUGAAUGGCCUAAACCUACCACUAUCAAAACUUUACGAGGCUUCCUUGGCUUGACGGGAUACUACCGUAAAUUUGUUGUUAGGUAUGGAAAAAUUGCUGCUCCCUUAACUGACAUGCUUAAACAAGAUUCGUUUACUUGGAGUCCUACUGCUGAAGCAGCAUUUGAUGAGCUACGCCAAGCCAUGGCUUCCACUCCCGUUUUAGCCUUGCCGAAUUUCACCAAACCAUUUUCUAUAGAAUGCGAUGCUUCCGGUCGGGGAAUCGGACCAGUCCUCAUGCAAGAGGGCCGUCCACUCGCUUAUAUUAGCAAAGCCUUAUCUAGAAAAAACUUAGCCAUGUCCACAUACGACAAAAAUGGCGUCCGUAUCUUAUGGGACAGCAUUUCAAAAUUCUUACGGACCAUCGCAACCUUAAGUAUUUCCAUGAUCAGCGCAUUUCCUCUCCGGAAUAGCAGAUGUGGUUGUCUAAACUCUUAGGAUUUGAUUGUGAAAUUAUUUAUAGGAAGGGAGCUGAAAAUUCAGUUGCGGAUGCUUUGUCUCGUCGCUUUGAAGACUCCCAUUUCCAUGCCAUUUCUUCCCCAAUAUUUUCUCAUCUUACCGACAUCAAGAAAGAGUACAAAGCCGACCCAGCCCUGUCACUUCUUAUCGACUGUCUUCAGUCAUCCCAAUCUGUUCUUUAUUAUUCUUAUGAUGGCUCCAUUUUACGAUACAAGAGUCAAAUUGUUAUUCCUUCUUCUUCUGUUAAGUGCCAGCACAUUUUACACGAAUUUCACGCCUCUCCAACUGGCGGUCAUUCGGGAUUCUUACGCACUUACAAAAGACUCAAAGCUAGUUUCUACUAGAAAGGGUUAAAAAGGGCUACUAAAUUAUUUGUUGCUGAAUGUGAUGUCUGUCAACGAAACAAGGCUGAAAAUGUGCAUCCUUCCGGGUUGCUUCAACCUUUGCCCAUCCUUGAUAAAAUUUAGGAAGAUAUCUCCAUGGAUUUUAUUGAUGGUCUUCCAACUUCUAAGGGCAAAACAUCUAUUUUUGUUGUGGUAGAUCGUUUGUCUAAAUAUGCUCAUUUUAGUGCCUUAUCCCAUCCUUAUACAACCGCUCUUGUCGCUAAAAUUUUUGUGCGGGAUGUUGCUAAAUUGCACGGAAUGCCUCACACCAUUGUCAGCGACCGUGAUCCUAUCUUUCUUAGUCAAUUUUGGGAGGAAUUCUUUCAAUUACAGGGCAGUUCUUUAUGUCGCAGCUCUGCUUAUCAUCCUCAAACGGAUGGCCAAACCGAAGUUGUUAAUCGCUCCUUGGAAGGAUAUUUGAGGUGUUUUGCUGGUCACCAGCCUUCUACAUGGACUAACUGGUUACCUUGGGCUGAAUGGUGGUAUAAUACUACAUUCUAUUCUGCUAUCCAACUGACUCCCUUUGAAGUAGUCUAUGGUCGGCCCCCCCUCGCCAUCCGCCUUGGCUGCCUGGCACAACUAAUGUUCAUACUGUUGACUUGGCUCUCUACGAUAAGGAUUUGAUUUUAUGUCUUCUUAAAGAUAAUUUGGAAGCUGCCCAGUCACGAAUGAAGUUUUUGCUGACAAAAAACGUACAAAACGAGUGUUUGCUGAAGGGGAUUGGGUGUACCUUCGUCUUCAACCUUAUCGGCAGUCCACUUUGCAUCCUAAUGGUACUCAUAAGUUAUCUCUGCGUUAUUAUGGUCCUUUCUGGAUUCUUUCUCGCAUUGGCACUAUGGCUUACAAAUUGGAUCUUCCAGCUACAAGCAAAGUUCAUCCUGUUUUUCAUGUUUCAUGCUUAAAGAGGAAACUUGGGGUUCAUACACCAUCACAACAACUUCCUGAUUCUCUUUAUGUUGUUGCUUGGGAAUGGCAGCCCUUGGCCAUUUUGGAUCAUGGAAUUUUCAAACGCAACAAUCGCCCUGCUACUAAGCUCCUUGUUCAGUGGCAAGGUCAGUCUAAGGAAGAGGCUACUUGGGAGGAAUGUUCUGAGUUUGCUGCCCGUUUUCCUUCUUUCCAGCUUGCGGACAAGCUGCCUUCUUAGGGGGAGGGGAUGUUAGAAUCCUAGUCUUAGAUCUUCAUUAUUUCCUUUUCCGUUAAGGUUUAGUUAUUAAGUUAUUUGUUAUUAGGAAUUAUUAUUUUCGUAGGAUCUCUUUGGCUUAUAUAAGGAACUGUUGCUACUUUAAUAAAUAAUAAGAAUUGCUUCUAAAACUCUCUUUUCCCCUCUGGCCACUUCUUCUCAUUAUUCUUCUCAUCAAUUCGUCUCUUCUAAAUUCUAUCUCAAAGCAGUAGCCUAACAGAAUUGAAUUGUUACAACUAUUUGCCUUGGGAGAAAUUAAUAAUGGAAUAUGAUGCAUUACCAUCUCAUUUUCUAUGUCAUCUUUGUAUUUGCCUGACAAUUUCUUUGAAAGUCUUAAAGAAUUUUGCAAUUUUACAAUAGGUGUUUUUGUUAAGAAAAAAAUUCUCAUUUAUGUAAUUGUUUUGUGAAUUUUCAUUAAUGGUUGUUAAUUUUCUUUAUUGGUUGGUGUAUGUUUUUUAUAUUUGAUUAUGUUCCUUAAUGUGGGAUUUUACUUAAUUUGGGAUUUCAUAAAUGCGGAUAUUUUUAUUGUAUCUAAUUAAAUUUUAAAUUUGAUUUAUGCAUCAUAAAUGCCAUUUUUGUGGAAUCUUAAUUUUUGUGGAAUAAAUUGAGCGUAAAAAAAAAGGUUUUGGACAUUCUAUUUUUACUUUAAUUAUGUCCAAAAGAAAGGAUUUUAUUUAGCAUUGUAUAUUGUAUAUACUAGGCACCUUCUCGGAAGCUAUGAUUGGAGCUUUAAUUGAAUAGAAAAUUGAGAGUGGAUUUGUUUGAGGGGCUGUAGUUGGAGCUGUUUUUCUAUUUAAGCAUUUGGUUCUUCCAUUGAAUUUUGGGAUCGAUAGAAUCUUGUAUUUGGUACAUUUAGCCUUAAUAAUUUAGCAAGAAAGUUUAUUUAUGUGGACCACCUUCUAGUGUCUUGUUAAGAUUGACACCUUGUCAAGUUUCUUAAGUGCACAAAUUUCAUGUGAUUUCUUUCAAGCAUGAACAAGGAGAUAGGUGUUAAAAGAAAAUAUAAAUUGAAAAAAAAAAUAAUAGUUGAGAAGUUACAACAGAAGGACAUGUUUUAUUUAAACUUUCUCUUUUCUUCUUUAAUUUCAUUAUUAUCUAGUUUGUUGUGUGCAUCGGAUUUCGAUUACUAUGGCCAACAAAUACUUGUGAAAUUUCAAGUAGAGAUAAGCAUAAGAGAAGCAUAUUGGCUAAAGAAUUAUAUAUAAUAUGCUAUUAUAGUAUUUGUAAGGCUCUACCUUUUUGUUACAAAUUGAUUAUUUAUUAUUUUAAUUUUCACUUGGAGAAUUUUCUUCAUACAGAUUGUUAUAUUUGUCAAAAAUUUUGUUGUAGGAUAUCUUUGAGACCGAUGUCUUUAAUCUACAAGUUUGGAAGCGUUUGAAGAAGACAAUGAAAGACAAGUUCAAGUUAAUUUUCAUGACAACUAGAAACGACUUUUUGUAGUUGAAUUUAUGUGAUUACAUUGUAAAUGUUUAAUCUAUUUUUGUUUAUUUAAUUUUAUAAUUAUUUGUUCAUUUGUACAUUCUUAAUUUCAAUGUUUGUAGUUUUUUUUAAUUGUUAUUUUAAUAUUGUAAGCUCAAUUGG
rnacentral:lncRNA from 1 species